GUUCGGAGAUGAAUCAGGCCAAAGCAUCGGCCUCUUUUAUUUUUAAACUAUAACUGAUGGAAAUGUCCAAAUGCCGAAUUGAAGCUUAGUUGCGCAAAUUAGUAAUUUCCAUCAAUUAUAGUUUAGAA